rnacentral:rRNA from 1 species
CGGGGUGAGUAAUGUCUGGGAAACUGCCUGAUGGAGGGGGAUAACUGCUGGAAACGGUAGCUAAUACCGCAUAACGUCGCAAGACCAAAGAGGGGGACCUUCGGGCCUCUUGCCAUCGGAUGUGCCCAGAUGGGAUUAGCUAGUAGGUGGGGUAACGGCUCACCUAGGCGACGAUCCCUAGCUGGUCUGAGAGAUGACCAGCCACACUGGAACUGAGACACGGUCCAG